UACGUAGGUGGCAAGCGUUGUCCGGAAUUAUUGGGCGUAAAGCGCGCGCAGGUGGUUUCUUAAGUCUGAUGUGAAAGCCCACGGCUCAACCGUGGAAGGUCAUUGGAAGCUGGGGAACUUGAGUGCAGGAGAGAAGAGUGGAAUUCCACGUGUAGCGGUGAAAUGCGUAGAGAUGUGGAGGAACACCAGUGGCGAAGGCGACUCUUUGGCCUGUAACUGACACUGAGGCGCGAAAGCGUGGGGAGCAAACAGG
rnacentral:rRNA from 1 species